rnacentral:rRNA from 1 species
GACGAACGCUGGCGGUGUGCUUAACACAUGCAAGUCGAACGGUAAGGCCCUUUCGGGGGUACACGAGUGGCGAACGGGUGAGUAACACGUGAGUAACCUGCCCUCAUCUCUGGGAUAACAGUCGGAAACGGUUGCUAAUACUGGAUAUGAGCUUGCAAGGCAUCUUGUGGGUUGGAAAGAUUUUUUUUGGUUGGGGAUGGACUCGCGGCCUAUCAGCUUGUUGGUGAGGUAGUGGCUCACAAGGCUUCGACGGGUAGCCGGCCUGAGAGGGCGACCGGCCACAUUGGGACUGAGAUACGGCCCAAACUCCUACGGGAGGCAGCAGUGGGGAAUAUUGCACAAUGGACGGAAGUCUGAUGCAGCAACGCCGCGUGCGGGAUGACGGCCUUCGGGUUGUAAACCGCUUUCAAUUGUGACGAAGCUUUUUUGUGACGGUAGCAGUAGAAGAAGCACCGGCUAACUACGUG